rnacentral:rRNA from 1 species
AGUGAACGCUGGCGGUAGGCCUAACACAUGCAAGUCGAACGGCAGCACAGUAAGAGCUUGCUCUUACGGGUGGCGAGUGGCGGACGGGUGAGGAAUACAUCGGAAUCUACUUUUUCGUGGGGGAUAACGUAGGGAAACUUACGCUAAUACCGCAUACGACCUACGGGGAAAAGCAGGGGAUCUUCGGACUUUGCGCGAUGGAAGGACCCGAUGUCGGAUAUGCUGGUGGGGGGGGAAAAGGCCCACAAAGGCGACGACCCGUAGUGGGCCUUAGAGGAUUAUCCGGCCCCCUUGAACUGGGACCCGGUCCAGACUCCUCCGGGAGGCAGCAGUGGGGAAUAUUGGACAAUGGGCGCAAGCCUGAUCCAGCCAUACCGCGUGGGUGAAGAAGGCCUUCGGGUUGUAAAGCCCUUUUGUUGGGAAAGAAAAGCAGCAGGUUAAUACCCCGCUGUUCUGACGGUACCCAAAGAAUAAGCACCGGCUAACUUCGUG